rnacentral:rRNA from 1 species
CAGACCUCUAAUCGGAAAAGGCCACCCGCUGAGUUUAA